AUCCCAUGAUGAGGACACUUACGAAGUAACUCCUUAAAUCGCUCCUAAGCCCCAUAUAAAGACUCGCCAUUCAAUUGUUGGAAAGUUAUGAUCUUGUUCCUUAACUU
rfam:Gossypium raimondii chromosome 5, whole genome shotgun sequence.